rnacentral:rRNA from 1 species
UGGGGAAUCUUGCACAAUGGGGGCAACCCUGAUGCAGCGACGCCGCGUGAGCGAUGAAGCCCUUCGGGGCGUAAAGCCCUUUCGACCGGAACGAUAAUGACGGUACCGGGAGAAGAAGCUGCGGCUAACUACGUGCCAGCAGCCGCGGUACUACGUAAGCAGCAAGAGUUGUUCGGAGUUACUGGGCGUAAAGAGUGCGUAGGCGGUUUUCUAAGUUCGGUGUGAAAUCUCCCGGCUUAACUGGGAGGGUGCGCCGAAGACUGGGGAGCUGGAGUGUGGGAAAGGCAGGGGGAAUUCCUGGUGUAGCGGUGAAAUGCGUAGAUAUCAGGAGGAACACCGGCGGUGUAGACGGCUUGCUAGACCAUAACUGACGCUGAGGCACGAAAGCGUGGGUAGCAAACA